GAUGAACGCUGGCGGCGUGCCUAAUACAUGCAAGUCGAGCGAACGGACGAGACGCUUGCUUCUCUGAUGUUAGCGGCGGACGGGUGAGUAACACGUGGAUAACCUACCUAUAAGACUGGGAUAACUUCGGGAAACCGGAGCUAAUACCGGAUAAUAUUUUGAACCGCAUGGUUCAAAAGUGAAAGACGGUCUUGCUGUCACUUAUCGACGGAUCCGCGCUGCAUUAGCUAGUUGGUAAGGUAACGGCUUACCAAGGCAACGAUGCAUAGCCGACCUGAGAGGGUGAUAGGCCACACUGGAACGGAGACACGGUCCAGACUCCUACGGGAGGCAGCAGUAGGGAAUCGGCCGCAAUGGGCGAAAGCCUGACGGAGCAACGCCGCGUGAGCGAUGAAGGUCUUCGGAGCGUAAAACUCUGUUAUUAGGGAAGAACAGAUGUGUAAGUAACUGUGCACAUCUUGACGGUACCUAAUCAGAAAGCCACGGCUAACUACGUG
rnacentral:rRNA from 1 species